UACAAAUUCAUUCCUCCAAUAGGUUGUACAUGAGUAAAAAGCAUGAAGUAGUUCAAGAAUGGUUGAGUAAAAGAAUGGAUAAUGAUUCCUCAAAGUAUUCUGGAUUCCAUGAGAAACAGCUAUAGAACUAAUAUCACCGUUCUCAUUAGAAACUACAGCUAUAGGUUUAGAGAGAUUUCUGCAAGAAAAGGACAAUUUUAAAAAUUAAAUAUUUUGAUACUGUCAAGAUUAAGCUCCCUAGAUGUCUGCAUCUUGUAAGUAGGAAUGAAUCCUCACUUUUACAAGCUACAGAAUCAUGUGGUGUCCCUGUGUGGCACUUGAAGGAGCAAAAGAAAAAGCUCUGAUGAAGAAGGGCAGGCUCUUUUGGCUGAGGAACCAUCUGGUCUGGCACAGGCAUGGGACCACCUGGAUUUCAACCUGCAGCACCAUAACUAGACCAACAGCAAGAUUUGCCUACAUUUCAGUGAGUCAAACCAGACAGUUUCACUCUGUCACCCAAACAUGAUCUCAGCUCACUGCAACCUCCGCCUCCCAAGUUCAAGUGAUUUUCAUGCCUCAGCUUCCUGAGUAGUUGGUCUCGAACUCCUGACGUCAGGUGAUCUGCCUGCCUUGGCCUCCCAAAGUGCUGGGAUUACAGACUUGAGCCACUGCGCCCAGCUUAAAUCUGAUUUCUUGAGAACUGUCUGAAUUAGGCCCACUCUUUGGCACUUACAGCUGAAAUACUCUAGUAUACUAAGUGAAAUAUUUGGAGUCCAUUUUUCUUUAAACUAAACAUCAGAAUAUUUUUUCAUAUUAAACGAACAAAAUAUUCCCUCAUCAACUAGGACUAUUUGGUUACUCUAAAAUACAGUUCAUUCAGGAAAGGCAGAAUAAAUGCUGAAUUCUGUUCCUUUAAUUGCCAAAUUUCAAAGUAAGGAAUUGGUGCCCUAUUACCUCUAAUGGGACCAAUGAAUUUUGUUUCACUGUGUUUCCUUGGCCUUUUAAAAAGUAUCACUAUGACCUUACGUUUCUUUUUAUUUCCAUGUGUUUCAACUAAUUGCAGUCAUUAUUCUUUUUAUUCUCAGACUAUCCUAUCUUUGGCAGCGAGAGGCACUUCAAGUUGGCUUCUGAGUCCUUUUCUAUUUUUAUUUUUUGAGACGGAGUUUCACUCUUGUUAUCCAGGCUGGGGUGCAGUGGUGCAAUCUCGGCUCAUCGCAACCUCCCCAUCCCAGGUUCAAGCAAUUCUCCUGCCUCAGCCUCCCAAGUAGCUGGAAUUACAGGCAUGUGCCACCACGGCCGGCAAAUUUUGUAUUUUUAAUAGAGUUAGGGUUUCACCAUGUUGGCCAGGCUGCUCUUGAACUUCAGGCCUCAAGCCAUCAGCCCACCUUGGCCUCCCAAAGUGCUGAGAUUACAGGAGUGAGCCACCACGCCUGGCCAACUUCUGAGUCCUUUUGACAAGACCAUAUUAGUUUCCUCGCUUUCUGACACAACAAAACAUCCUAGGCUCACCUUGUCUAUUUUCUUCUAAUAAAUUUAGAAGAAAUGAGAGAAUGGGAAAUCAACAUUUUGCAACCUCUAGUGAAAUAAUUGAUUCAAGCAAUAAUCAUCAAUGGAUGAAACCAUUAGGUACAAAUUCAAUGGGAGCCUGAGCCCACAGAUCAAACUGAGCACCAUUACAGUGGAAUAUCAUAGGCUUCCUGAUAUGAUACAAUAUAAAGCUCACUCCUCUCAACCAUGCAGAAUGAUAAAAAAAAAAAAAAGGAAAAUAUAUAUAAAGCUCACAUCACCACCUAUAAAGGAUUCUUGCCAAAAAAAGAGUUGAACCUGAAACUAAGCAAGACUUUUCCAGUCUCUAGGAAAUACAGGGGUUAUGGGAACAAACCAAACGACGUCAUGGGAAGCAAUCAGAAAAUACAGAAUGUGAAGCCUCCAAAAGAAUAAGUGACCUGGUUUUUCCAACAAGUCAAUGUCAGGAGAAAAUAAAGAGAAAAAAUACACAUAAAAAAUAAUGGCUGGCUGGGUGUAGUGGCUCAUGCCUGUCAUCUCAGCACUUUGGGAGGCCAAGGUGGGUGGAUCACAAGGUCAAGAGAUAGAGACCAUCCUGGCCAACAUGGUGAAACCCUGUCUCUACUAAAAAUACAAAAAUUAGUUGGGCAUGGUGGCAGGUGCCGGCAGUCCCAGCUACUCAGAGGCUGAGGCAGGAGAAUCGCUUGAACCCGGGAGGCAGAGGUUGCAGUGAGCCGAGAUUGCGCCACUGCACUCCAGCCUGGUGACAGAGUGAGACUCUGUCUCAAAAAAAAAAAAAAAAAAAAAAAAAAAAAGGCUAUUCUAGGUAUAUGUUCAGAGAUAUAGCAACCAAACAUGACAAUGGACCUGAUUCAAGACAACCAACUAUAAAAAGCUAUCUUUGAGAGAAGCAGGGGACAUUUGGAAAUGGACUAGAUAUUAGAUGAUAUCAUGGAAUUAUUGUCAAUUUUCUUACAUGUGAUAAUAGCACUGUGGUUGAGAUGUUCUAUUUUUUAAAGAGAUGCAUACUGUAGAACAAAGAAGUGACAUAACAAGAUGUCUGCAAUUUGCCUUAAAUAAGAAAAAAAAGUUAAUGUAAGUUUGGCAAAAAUCUUCAUAAUUCACAAUUGUUGAACCAGGGUGAUAGGUAUGUGGGGUCUUAUAUAAUUCUUCUAUUUUGUGCAUGUUUGAAAUUUUUCAUAAUGAAAACUUUAAUAAAGAAAUACAACAUAUGGAUGGAU
rnacentral:lncRNA from 1 species